AUGGGCCACCGGUCACUUCCUAGAUUCCUGGGUUCCCAGGAGCCACUUGAGGUCCCUGGACACAGCUUCAGAUCUUGCGCUGGCAGCACACGGGGACACAGCAGCUGGACUGGGAGCAGCAGGGCCUGCAGCAGCUGGACUGGGAGCAGCCACAGGAGCCGCAGCCCCCUUUGCCACAGCUGGAGCAGGAGCAGGCUGGCACACAGCAGCACACGGGCUUGCAGCAGCAGACAGGCACACAGCAGCUGGAGCCGCAGCCCCCACACGAGCCGCAGCCCCCACAGCUGGAGCCGCAGCCUCCGGAACAGCCAGAGCAGCCCAUGGUUCUGUUGGGUUGAGGGUGGAGUAGGUCAGAGGAGCAGGUGGAGAGAGAGAAGGGACUCAGUGUGGGGCCUCCGGGGCCGGGAGCCUCUAUAUACCUGCCGGGGCAGGUGUGACCUGGGCACGUGCUCACUUCCUGGUUCCCAUCUGUGCUGUGUCUUGUUUGUGGGCCUGGAAUCCAUGGACUUCUGUUGACUUUUCCCAGCAGACACCCUCCUAGGUUUCUAAGUCUGGCUUCUUCCCUGUCUUGUUUGUUUCCUGUAAAAAGGAACAGUCCAGCUUUGUGCUAUUUCCAGUUUUCUGUUGACUACAUAUAACUGGGGGUCCUGGGAUCUUUCCCAACAUCUAUUUUAUGUACUGAAAACCUCCCCAUUACUUAUCUUCAGAAUUUUAUUUUUUAAAAUUAGAGGUUUGUAGUGGAAACAAAAGCAAAAGUAAGCAAGCAGGACUGUAUCAAACUAAGAAGCUUCUGCACAGCAAAGGAAACCAAACCACGAACAAAGAUAAAAGGCAACCCACGGAGUGGGAGAAAAUAUUUGAUUAAUCAUUUGUAGAUCAUUUGAUUAAUCCUUUCUGAUAAAGGAUUAAUAUCCAAAGUAUAUAAAGAGCUCAUAUCACUCAGUAGUGAAAAAAAGACCCUCCAAAACGGGCAAACAGUAUGCUUAAAAAAUGGGCAGAGUAUCUGAAUAGACUUUCUUUUCCCCUAAGGAAGACGUACAGGAGACCAACAGACACGAAGAGAGGCUCAGCAUCCCUAACCAUCAGAGAGACGCAAGUCAAGACCGCGAGAUACCUCACACCUGCGAACAGCUGUUAUCAGACAGACAGCAGAUAGCAAGGUGAGCAAGUGGAGAGAAGGGAGCCCGCGCGCUGUUCGGGGGCCUGUAAGUUGGUGCAUCCACUGUGAAAAACAGUAUGGAGUCUCCUCAGAAAAUUAAAAAUAGAGCUGUCAUAUGAGCCAGCAAUUCUACUUCCGGAUAUUUGUCUUAGAGAAACGAAAACAUCACCUUGAAAUGACAUCUGGACCCUAUGUUUAUUGCAGCAUUGUUUACGUUAGUCGAGAUCCGGAAGCAACCUGCAUGCCCAUUAGGGAUGAGUGGAUGAAGGCGAUGUGGAGGGUCAUGGGAUACUCUUCAGCUGUAAAGGGAAGGAAAGGUGUCCUGCCGUUUGGGGCGAUGUGGAUAGACGAGGGUAUGGUGGGGGCUGCCCCAGUGGCUCAGCAGUUAAGACUCUGCCUGCAGGGCAGCAGAGGCAGGGGACACAGGUUUGAUCCCUGGUCGGGAAGCUUCCCUGGAGAAGGAAACGGCGCCCCACUCCAGUAUCCUUGCCUGGAGAGUCGUGUGGCCAGAGGAGCCUGGCAGGCCACAGUCCACAGGGUUGCAAGCGUCGGACACGACUGAGCGACUAGAGAGAGAUACGUCAGUUAUUUCUCGGGAAAAACGUGAGGUCUUAGUUAAACAAAACUGGAGAAGUCGAGAAGCAGGCAAAUUACCCACAAUCCCACGCUCCAGAGUGUCGUGCGUGCGUGUGUGUGUGUGUGUGUGUGUGUGUGUGCGCGCGCGCGCGCGCGCGCGCGCCCUUUGUCUCGAGCUGCGCUGCGCAGGGGCUGCACUCGGCCCGAGGUGCGCGGGCCCCUGGCGCCGUGGCUUCUCCUGCCGUCGAGCACGGGCGCUGGCAUCACAGGCUCAGCAGCUGCGGUGCGUGGGUUGGUUGCCCGGCGGCGCGCGGCAUCCUCCUGGACCAGGGAUCGACCGGUGUCCCCUGCAUCGGCGGGGUCCUCACCGCUGGGCCUCCAGGGAAGCCCUAGAGCGUCAUAUUUCGGUUGAUCCCAUGUGAUUUUUUGUAAACAGGCAUGUCCCGUGGUUCCUCAUUCUCCAAGGUCACCCAUGCUUUUCAGUCCUCAGAAGAGACUCUCUUUACGGGUCAAACAGGAGGAACCCCGGCCCUUUUCCUGGUGGCCGUGGCCGCCCCUUUCCAGACCCAGGUCUAGCCUUGAGUCCCUGGGCGCCUUGUGUUCAGUGAAUCUGGCUGGUGGCUCCUCGAUCUCCCUCUGACCCACUCUUGCAGACUUCUCCCAGCUCCUCUUCCCUGCCCCCUGACUGCCGUAUGCUCGCCCCAGAGAGACUUCCGGGUGACUGGACUCUCCCUUCCCUACACAGCUUCCAGUGGAUCUCCUAGGACCACUAGUGGAGGAAGACACCCUGUGGCCUGGUCUGUGCCAGGCUCAGCAUCCUGAGUGACGUUUGCUGAAUCACAGCCCGGGUCAGGGGGCUGGCCCCAUAGGUGGUGGAGGGGCAGCCAGUUGUGGGCAGAGCUUGCAGGGUCUAACUAGGCUGUUAGACCUCUGUUUGUAGGAAAGAAGAGAUGGAUUUAGGAUUCAGGAACAGUGGUUGGCAGGUUGUCUGGGUGGUCAGAGUUUGGAAAGGGCAUGGCUGGAAGCUCAGUGGCAGCUUACUUCCAAAAACCAGCUGCAGAAGCCCAGAAGGGGAGACCUGGCUUAGCAGAGGCAAGUAGAGAAAAUACCUGAUUGUCUGAGUUCAGCUGGGGCCUAGAUGACGCAGCCUGCGAUGCUGCUGGCCACACGCACUGGUCUUGUCAGGUCUCCCCAGGACGGUCAGAAAGGGAAGAGGAACUAAAGAGACUCUUGAUGAGGGUGAAAGAAGAGAGUGAAAAAGCUGGCUUAAAACUCAACAUUAAAAAGACCAAGAUCAUGGCAUCCAGUCCCAUCACUUCAUGGCAAAUAGAAUGGGAGAAAAUGGACAGAUUUUAUUUUGGGGGCUCCAAAAUCACUGCCGAUGGUGACUGCAGCCAUGAGAUUAAAAGACUCUUGCUCCUUGUAAGAAAAGCUAUGACAAACCUAGACGAUGUACUCAAAAGUGGGGACAUCAUUUUGCCGACGAAGCUCCGUAUGGUCAAGUUAUGGUUUUUCCAGCAGUCAUGUAGAAGUGUCACAGUUGGACCAUAAGGAAGGCUGAGCACUGAAGAAUUGGUGCUUUCAAACUGUGGUGUUGGAGAAUGCCGGGGGCCAGCGUGAGGAAUUCCGCCCAUGGCAAAGGUCAUGAGGAAGGAGGCUUGGCAUACGCAAAGGCGUGAUCAAGCCUCAGGAAACCCCCUGUUCCCGAGCAUCUAACCCCAAAACCAGAGUCUGUUUUAUGCUCUCACCUACACCUCUGACUUUACGGGGGGCUCUCCCCCAUAACCGUUUCUCUCGGAGAAGGAGUAAACGUGCAGCUCCAAGGCAAUAAAAAUUCCUGGGCGUGACAAGAGUGUUUCAGCUUACGGACUCCUCUGAAGGUUAUCUAGCCCACCUGUAUAGGUUUGUCCGGCCACAUGUGAUUGUUUACAGCCUCCCAACCUGAGAGGCACGAGAUGUUUUAGACUUACUAAAGGCAAAUUAUUUUGGGGAGUUAAAAUUAUUAGUAUAGUUGGUUAGGAAUUAUAUUGGUGAAGGGUCUCUUCAUUUGUUGUGUCAAUAAUUGCUGCUAAUUCCCUGCUCUGGGUGGGACAAGGAUGUCUCAGGUCAAACCUCUCUGCUGACAGACUAGCUUGUGUGACAGGAUUAUCCUUACUGCCGCCACUAGGCACAUGAUUGUUUACUACCUCUCAACCAUAAACAGCACAGAGAGUUUUGGAGUAUUUUGAGAGUCUUAAUUAGCAUAGGACUUUUUCUUCUGUUUGAGUCAAUAAUUGCCGCCAGGCCUCUAUAUCCUUAGGCACCUGGGAAUAUAUUAAUCAAUGUAUUUGGAAUAUAGCAAAGGAAAUAUGGUAGUUUUUGAUGUUAGCAAUACUAGACUUUUUGAGUUAAUGGAUUUUCUCUUUUGUAAUAGAUCACUGUACUUAUAUAUCACUGUGUCCUUGCUGUGUAAGAAUGUAACUUUAUCAUAUCUUAAGACUAAAUAGAUCUUAAGGGGAGCAUUGGUGAAAGGAUUUUCAUUUGUUGGGCUGAUGUUUGCUGCUAAAUCUCCAUGUUCCCUACCCUUAUAAUGAAUAUAACUAGCAUAUAGGAAGAAAUAAGUAUUAACCUUUAAGCAUAUAGGAGAAAUAAGUAUUAACCUUUAAGACUAAUCAUGUUAACCUUGGGUUAAAUAAAUUCCUUUCUUGAUUGUAACUCACUACACCCUCACCCUAUAGGAAUGUAACUUUAUUUGGAGGGUGGUGCCUGGUUUAAGAAAAAACACCCUUGGAAGAAAUAAGUUUUUUGGUUAUCAGAAAGAAAGGAUCAUAAAAUGUCAGCAGGUCUCACUCAUGGCCAGAAGAUGAUGUAAUAUUCCUAAGACCUUUUUUAUACAUUUAUGUGAAGCACCUGAUUUUGAUAAAGGUCAGGACUGCUGACCCCCACGUGACUCUGUAUUCAUCCCUAUGUGUAACAAAAGGUAUAUAAGCAAACCCAAAAAUAAAGAAAUCGGAUCAGUUUCCGGAAAGACUGAUUCCCCCAUGUCGCUUCUUUCUUGCUCCCGUUUUUCUGGCUGAAUUCCCAUCUGGAGCAUGGAUGCUAUUCCACGUAAUCCAAGUUAUUCAGCCUCUUUUUCUCCACUAAUCUUCCUACUACACUAUCCAUUUCUAAUCUCUCUAUAUCUGUGAUUAAAUAUGUAUUUUUCCAAAGACGCCGACUCCGUCCCCCCACCUUCGAAUCACCCUGGAUCCACCGGGGCUGGACCCCGGCAAAAAAUGGUCUGAAUAAAAAGAAAAAAUAUUACAAAAUAAACAACAGAGGAUAAGUGCAAUUGAACCUAAGAACUACUACUUUUCCUUGAGUGCUAGAACAUGG
ensembl:lincRNA